UGAUCCAGCCAUGCCGCGUGAGUGAAGAAGGCCUUCGGGUUGUAAAGCUCUUUCAGCCGGAAAGAAAACGCACGGGCUAAUACCCUGUGUGGAUGACGGUACCGGAAGAAGAAGCACCGGCUAACUACGUGCCAGCAGCCGCGGUAAUAA
rnacentral:rRNA from 1 species